GUUUUAAAAAAAAAAGCACAAUGCUUAAUUAGUAUAGACUAAAACAGGAUUUGAAUGUGUGGUGUACAGCUCAGCGUAGAGAAUGUCUAUUUUCUAUUAUCAGGCAGAAAUGAAAUCCAGUGAUACAAGACUAAUCCAAAAUAGUGAGAUGUUGCCAUCCAGCCAAAAGAGACCGAGAAGAGAAUCUUUCACCUGAACUCGUCCACUGAAUUUGAAGUUCAGAAAGAGACUUGACCUUGAGACUGGGACGAGGAAGAGAGGUAUGGCUUCGCUCUUCGCGGCCAUGCUGCCAGUAGAGGCGGUGGACUGGAGGCUUCGUUUUUGCUUUCCUCGAACGCACUUUGACACAUGUUUCUUG
rnacentral:misc_RNA from 1 species